rnacentral:lncRNA from 1 species
CUACGGGCUCUGCCUCGAUCAGAACUCCACAAACUGAUCAGCCCCUUGCAAUGUCUGAACCACGUGUGGAAACUGCACCACCCCCAGGACGGAGGCCCCCUGCCCCUGCCCACGCACCAUCCCUUCCCAUUCCACCCUCUCCAGCCCUGGAAACCUCACCCUCUGGAGUCCUUCCUGGGCAAACUGGCCUGUGUAGACAGCCAGAAACCCUUGCCUGACCCACACCUGAGCAAACUGGCCUGUGUAGACAGUCCAAAGCCCCUGCCUGGCCCACACCUGGAGCCCAGCUGCCUGUCUCGUGGUGCCCAUGAGAAGUUUUCUGUGGAGGAAUACCUAGUGCAUGCUCUGCAAGGCAGCGUGAGCUCAGGCCAGGCCCACAGCCUGACCAGCCUGGCCAAGACCUGGGCAGCAAGGGGCUCCAGAUCCCGGGAGCCCAGCCCCAAAACUGAGGACAACGAGGGUGUCCUGCUCACUGAGAAACUCAAGCCAGUGGAUUAUGAGUACCGAGAAGAAGUCCACUGGGCCACGCACCAGCUCCGCCUGGGCAGAGGCUCCUUCGGAGAGGUGCACAGGAUGGAGGACAAGCAGACUGGCUUCCAGUGCGCUGUCAAAAAGGUGCGGCUGGAAGUAUUUCGGGCAGAGGAGCUGAUGGCAUGUGCAGGAUUGACCUCACCCAGAAUUGUCCCUUUGUAUGGAGCUGUGAGAGAAGGGCCUUGGGUCAACAUCUUCAUGGAGCUGCUGGAAGGUGGCUCCCUGGGCCAGCUGGUCAAGGAGCAGGGCUGUCUCCCAGAGGACCGGGCCCUGUACUACCUGGGCCAGGCCCUGGAGGGUCUGGAAUACCUCCACUCACGAAGGAUUCUGCAUGGGGACGUCAAAGCUGACAACGUGCUCCUGUCCAGCGAUGGGAGCCACGCAGCCCUCUGUGACUUUGGCCAUGCUGUGUGUCUUCAACCUGAUGGCCUGGGAAAGUCCUUGCUCACAGGGGACUACAUCCCUGGCACAGAGACCCACAUGGCUCCGGAGGUGGUGCUGGGCAGGAGCUGCGACGCCAAGGUGGAUGUCUGGAGCAGCUGCUGUAUGAUGCUGCACAUGCUCAACGGCUGCCACCCCUGGACUCAGUUCUUCCGAGGGCCGCUCUGCCUCAAGGUCGGUGACGGCACCCAGCAUGGCCAACAGGGGGAGCUGCAGGGCCCUGGGGCCCAGGCUGCAGGCUGGAGGGGCUGCUCUGCGGUGGCAGAUGGAGCAAGGGGAGGCCUGGUCAUCCAUGUGGGAUCCUAAUUCAAAUACUUGCCACCCAAAUCUGGGGGUACAAGGGGAGAUCCAGCUGCGGAGGCUCACCAAGUUCAUGGCAGGUGAGAACUCUCUUCUGUCCAUACCCUGGGCCCCAUCCACCUGCCUCCUAACGGGCCGGGCCUGGAGGCUGUGGGCGUCUUGCUGCCUGGCUCUGGCCUG